rnacentral:rRNA from 1 species
AGGGCGCAAGGGGAAUGCCUUGGCAUUGGAAGCCGAUGAAGGACGUAGCGAUCUACGAAAAGCCCCGGGGAGGCGAAAGCAGCCAUCGAUCCGAGGAUAUCCGAAUGGGGAAACCCGGCGGAGCAAUACUCCGUCAUCCUUUUGUGAAUCCAUAGCAACUGGAAGGGAACCGCCUGAACUGAAACAUCUAAGUAGGGCGAGGAAGAGAAAUCAACCGAGAUUCCGCUAGUAGUGGCGAGCGAACGCGGAAGAGGCCAAACCAAGAGUAGUAAUACUUUUGGGGUUUUGGACAGCGUACGGUAUUAACUGCGGUUAGUAGAAUGAAAUGGGAAGUUCAACCACAGAGCGUGAUAGUCGCGUACACGAAAACUAAAGUUAGCCAGCUGGAUCCAGAGUACCGCCGGACACGUGAAACCCGGUGGGAAGACGGGGGGACCACCCUCCAAGCCUAAAUACUCUCCAAUGACCGAUAGUGUAUAGUACUGUGAAGGAAAGGUGAAAAGAACCCCUGGCGGGGAGUGAAAUAGAACCUGAAACCUUGUGCCUACAAGCACAUAGAGCGCGUCAAUGCGUGAUAUGGUACCUUUUGUAGAAUGGUCCGGCGAGUGAAUGUCACUGGCAAGGUUAAGCUCUUAAGGAGUGCAGCCGAAGCGAAAGCGAGUCUGAAAUGGGCGUUUUUAGUCAGUGGUAUUCGACCCGAAACCGGGUGACCUAGCCAUGAGCAGGCUGAAGUGGAGGUAAAACUCCAUGGAGGGCCGAACCCACUCCCGUUGAAAUGGUAGGGGAUGACUUGUGGCUAGCGGAGAAAUUCCAAUCGAACCCGGAGAUAGCUGGUUCUCUCCGAAAUAGCUUUAGGGCUAGCCUCAAUUAACAUUACCGCAGGUAAAGCACUGAAUGAGCUAGGGGGCGAAAGCUUACUGAACUCUAUCAAACUCAGAAUGGCGGAUAAUGAAUGAUUGGGAGUCACACUACGUGAGAUAAGUUUCGUGGUGGAAAGGGAAACAGCCCAGACCCACAGCUAAGGUCCCAAAGUACAGUUAAGUGGAAAAGGAUGUGAAAUUGCGCAGACAACCAGGAUGUUGGCUCAGAAGCAGCCACUCAUUCAAAGAGUGCGUAAUAGCUCACUGGUCGAGUGAUUUUGCGCCGAAAAUUUAACGGGGCUAAACUGUACACCGAAGCUUGGGAAUAUACAUUUGUAUGUUGGUAGGAGAGCGUUGUGUAAGGGGUGAAGUCGUAGCGAAAGCGGCGGUGGACUUUACACAAGUGAGAAUGCCGGAAUGAGUAGCGAGAAUUAUGUGAGAAUCAUAAUGGCCGAAAGACUAAGGUUUUAGAAGGAAGGUUCGUCCGCUUCUAGUUAGCCGGGAGCUAAGGCGAGGCCGAGAGGCGUAGUCGAUGCACAUACGGUUGAGAUUCCGUAGCUACCUUGCAUUUAAGCGAAGGGACACAUUUGAAGGGCAUGACCCGGGCGUUGGUUGACCCGGGCGUAAGGGACCGAAAAUAAGUAGGGAAGCAUGCUUGGAUGGUGGCGAGAAAAGCUUCGUGUAUAUAAGCAGGGUACCCGUACUGCAAACCGACACAGGUAGUCAGGAAGAGGAUUCUAAGGCCAUCGGGAGAAGCGUUGUUAAGGAACUCGGCAAAUUGACCCCGUAACUUCGGAAUAAGGGGUGCUCACGCGAGUGAGCCGCAGUGAAUAGGUCCAGGCAACUGUUUAUCAAAAACACAGCUCUCUGCUAAAUCGUAAGAUGACGUAUAGGGGGUGACACCUGCCCGGUGCUGGAAGGUUAAGAGGAGGGGUGCAAGCUCCGAAUUGAAGCCCCAGUAAACGGCGGCCGUAACUAUAACGGUCCUAAGGUAGCGAAAUUCCUUGUCGGGUAAGUUCCGACCCGCACGAAUGGUGUAAUGAUCUGGACACUGUCUCAACAACGCACCCGGCGAAAUUGUAGUACCGGUGAAGAUGCCGGUUACCCGCGGCAAGACGGAAAGACCCCAUGGAGCUUCACUGCAGCUUGAUAUUGGGUCUCGGUAUUUUAUGUACAGGAUAGGCGGGAGACUUGGAAACCAGCACGCCAGUGUUGGCGGAGUCACCCUUGGGAUACCGCUCUUAAAGUAUUGAGAUUCUAACCUGCAGCCAUGAAUCUGGCUGGGGGACAUUGUCAGGUGGGCAGUUUGACUGGGGCGGUCGC